GACGAACGCUGGCGGUGUGCUUAACACAUGCAAGUCGAACGGUAAGGCCCUUUCGGGGGUACACGAGUGGCGAACGGGUGAGUAACACGUGAGUAACCUGCCCUCAUCUCUGGGAUAACAGUCGGAAACGGUUGCUAAUACUGGAUAUGAGCUUGCAAGGCAUCUUGUGGGUUGGAAAGAUAUUUUUUGGUUGGGGAUGGACUCGCGGCCUAUCAGCUUGUUGGUGAGGUAGUGGCUCACCAAGGCUUCGACGGGUAGCCGGCCUGAGAGGGCGACCGGCCACAUUGGGACUGAGAUACGGCCCAAACUCCUACGGGAGGCAGCAGUGGGGAAUAUUGCACAAUGGACGGAAGUCUGAUGCAGCAACGCCGCGUGCGGGAUGACGGCCUUCGGGUUGUAAACCGCUUUCAAUUGUGACGAAGCUUUUGUGACGUAG
rnacentral:rRNA from 2 species